rnacentral:rRNA from 1 species
GAUUAUGGCUCAGGAUGAACGCUAGCGGCAGGCUUAACACAUGCAAGUCGAGGGGCAGCGCGAGUAGCAAUACUUGGCGGCGACCGGCGCAAGGGUGCGUAACGCGUGAGCAACAUGCCCGUAUCAGGGGGAUAAUCCAGGGAAACUUGGUCUAAUACCCCAUAGUAAUUUUGUAAGGCAUCUUAUAAGAUUUAAAGCUUUGGUGGAUACGGAUUGGCUCGCGUGACAUUAGCUGGAUGGUAAGGUAACGGCUUACCAUGGCUAUGAUGUCUAGGGGUUCUGAGAGGAAGGUCCCCCACACUGGAACUGAGACACGGUCCAGACUCCUACGGGAGGCAGCAGUGAGGAAUAUUGGACAAUGGAUGGAAAUCUGAUCCAGCCAUGCCGCGUAGAAGGAAGAAGGUCCUAUGGAUUGUAAACUUCUUUUGUAUGGGAGCAAUAAGGCCUACGAGUAGGUUGAUGAGAGUACCAUACGAAUAAGCACCGGCUAGCUCCGUGCCAGCCGCGGC